AUGCUGUGAGCUCGAUGAGUAGGGCGGGACACGUGGUAUCCUGUCUGAAUAUGGGGGGACCAUCCUCCAAGGCUAAAUACUCCUGACUGACCGAUAGUGAACCAGUACCGUGAGGGAAAGGCGAAAAGAACCCCGGCGAGGGGAGUGAAACAGAACCUGAAACCGUGUACGUACAAGCAGUGGGAGCCCCACCACUAAGCCAGUGGUGAACUCCACAUACGCAUCCUUUGCGGAAGAUGCGGUUAACGGAGCGAAAGCGACGUUCAACCUCAGAAGAAGCAGAGGGGGCUUAGUGGUGGGGUGACUGCGUACCUUUUGUAUAAUGGGUCAGCGACUUAUAUUCUGUAGCAAGGUUAACCGCAUAGGGGAGCCGAAGGGAAACCGAGUCUUAAUUGGGCGUUAAGUUGCAGGGUAUAGACCCGAAACCCGGUGAUCUAGCCAUGGGCAGGUUGAAGGUUGGGUAACACUAACUGGAGGACCGAACCGACUAAUGUUGAAAAAUUAGCGGAUGACCUGUGGCUGGGGGUGAAAGGCCAAUCAAACCGGGAGAUAGCUGGUUCUCCCCGAAAGCUAUUUAGGUAGCGCCUCGUGAACUCAUCUCCGGGGGUAGAGCACUGUUUCGGCUAGGGGGCCAUCCCGGCUUACCAACCCGAUGCAAACUGCGAAUACCGGAGAAUGUUAUCACGGGAGACACACGGCGGGUGCUAACGUCCGUCGUGAAGAGGGAAACAACCCAGACCGCCAGCUAAGGUCCCAAAGUCAUGGUUAAGUGGGAAACGAUGUGGGAAGGCCCAGACAGCCAGGAUGUUGGCUUAGAAGCAGCCAUCAUUUAAAGAAAGCGUAAUAGCUCACUGGUCGAGUCGGCCUGCGCGGAAGAUGUAACGGGGCUAAACCAUGCACCGAAGCUGCGGCAGCGACACUUUAGUGUUGUUGGGUAGGGGAGCGUUCUGUAAGCCGUUGAAGGUGUCCUGUGAGGGGUGCUGGAGGUAUCAGAAGUGCGAAUGCUGACAUAAGUAACGAUAAAGCGGGUGAAAAGCCCGCUCGCCGGAAGACC
rnacentral:rRNA from 1 species